AGCUUUGCGCAGUGGCAGUAUCGUAGCCAAUGAGGUUUAUCCGAGGCGCGAUUAUUACUAAUUGAAAACUUUUCCUAAAGUGUUCAUCCUGAUUGCUACUCGGUGACAGUUCUAUGUAUGGCAUUAUUGUCACCCCAUUAAUAAAAAGGG
ensembl:snRNA U4 U4 spliceosomal RNA